rnacentral:sRNA from 1 species
ACGUCACGAAUAAUGAGGCGUUCAUCCUGAGCUAAUCAGGCACUGAACGGGGAGUAAUCCACCGCCGUGCUGAGCACGUAGCGAACUCCUGCAAAAACUUAACGCAACCCACGCCCUGUAUACACAUUAUCUGACG